rnacentral:rRNA from 1 species
UACGUAGGGUGCGAGCGUUGUCCGGAAUUAUUGGGCGUAAAGGGCUCGUAGGCGGUUUGUCGCGUCGGGAGUGAAAACCUUGGGCUUAACUCAGGGCUUGCUUUCGAUACGGGCAGACUAGAGGUAUGCAGGGGAGAACGGAAUUCCUGGUGUAGCGGUGAAAUGCGCAGAUAUCAGGAGGAACACCGAUGGCGAAGGCAGGUCUCUGGGCUAACACUGACGCUCAUGCACGAAAGCGUGGGGAGCAAACAGG